GCAAGUUGUUAAGUGCGAUCGGUGGAUGCCUUGGCACCAAGAGCCGAUGAAGGACGUUGUAACCUGCGAUAAGCCCUGGGGAGUUGGUAAACGAGCUGUGAUCCGGGGGUGUCCGAAUGGGGAAACCUGGAAUGUCCGGAGUAGUGUCCGGUGACCCUGCCCUGAAUGUAUAGGGGUGUGGGAGGUAACGCGGGGAAGUGAAACAUCUUAGUACCCGUAGGAAGAGAAAACAACCGUGAUUCCGUGAGUAGUGGCGAGCGAAAGUGGAUGAGGCUAAACCGUGUGUGUGUUCAAGCCGGCAGGUGUUGCAUGUGCGGGGUUGUGGGGGCCUUUUGGUUCUGCUGCCGCAGGAUUGGCCAGUGAUAAAUGUUGCGUGAAGGUGAAGCGUCUGGGAAGGCGUACCGGAGUGGGUGAGAGUCCCGUAACUGUAAGCGUGGCACUGGUGAGGGUUGCCCCAAGUAGCGUGGAACUCGUGGAAUUUCGCGUGAAUCUGGCGGGACCACCCGUCAAGCCUAAAUACUCCUUGGUGACCGAUAGUGGAUUAGUACCGUGAGGGAAUGGUGAAAAGUACCCCGGGAGGGGAGUGAAAUAGUACCUGAAACCGGUCGCAUACAAGCCGUCAGAGCCUUGUGGGGUGAUGGCGUGCCUUUUGAAGAAUGAGCCUGCGAGUUAGUGAUGCGUGGCGAGGUUAACCUGUGUGGGGGAGUCGUAGCGAAAGCGAGUCUGAUAAGGGCGUGAGUCGCGUGUUCUAGACCCGAAGCGGUGUGAUCUAUCCAUGGCCAGGAUGAAGCGUCGGUAAGACGUCGUGGAGGUCCGAACCCACUUCAGUUGAAAAUGGAGGGGAUGAGCUGUGGAUAGGGGUGAAAGGCCAAUCAAACACCGUGAUAGCUGGUUCUCCCCGAAAUGCAUUUAGGUGCAGCGUUGCGUGGUUCUUGUCGGAGGUAGAGCACUGGAUGGUCUAGGGGGCCUAUCAGCUUACCGAAAUCAGCCAAACUCCGAAUGCCGGCAAGUGGAGCGUGGCAGUGAGACGGCGGGGGAUAAGCUUCGUCGUCGAGAGGGAAACAGCCCAGAUCAUCAGCUAAGGCCCCUAAGUGGUAGCUCAGUGGAAAAGGAUGUGGAGUUGCGCAGACAGCCAGGAGGUUGGCUUGGAAGCAGCCAUCCUUGAAAGAGUGCGUAAUAGCUCACUGGUCAAGUGAUUCCGCGCCGACAAUGUAGCGGGGCUUAAGUUAUCCGCCGAAGCUGUGGCAAACCCGUUUUGCGGGUUUGGGUAGGGGAGCGUCCUGUGUGAGGUGAAGCUGCCGGGUGACCGUGUGGUGGAUUGUGCGGGAGUGAGAAUGCAGGCAUGAGUAGCGAAUGACGGGUGAAAAACCCGUCCGCCGAUUAUCCAAGGGUUCCAGGGUCAAGUUAAUCUGCCCUGGGUGAGUCGGGGCCUAAGGCGAGGCCGACAGGCGUAGUCGAUGGAUAACCAGUUGAUAUUCUGGUACCGGCUUGUCACCGUCCGUGUCGAGGUGUGUGAUGCUAAGCGUGCGAGCCUGCCAUUGUGAUGUCUUUGAUGUUGUGGUGGUGUGGUGAGUGUGUGAACCGAUCAUGUAGUAGGCAAGCUGCGGAGGGACGCAGGGAGGUAGCUCAUCCCCGGCGAUGGUUGUCCGGGGCUAAAUGUGUGGACCGUCUGGUAGGUAAAUCCGCUGGGCAUAUGGUUGAGGCAUGAUGGCGAGCCCACGUGUGUGGGUGAGUGAGUGAUCCUGUACUGUCGAGAAAAUCUUCGUGAGCGAGGUGGCUGGUCCGCCCGUACCCUAAACCGACACUGGUGGAUAGGUAGAGUAUACCGAGGCGAUCGAGAUCAUCAUGGUGAAGGAACUCGGCAAAAUGCCCCCGUAACUUCGGGAUAAGGGGGACCUGAACUGUCAAGGCCUGUACGGCUGGUAGCAGUGAGGGGCGCAGAGACCAGGGGGAAACGACUGUUUACCAAAAACACAGGUCCGUGCGAAGUCGUAAGACGAUGUAUACGGACUGACUCCUGCCCGGUGCUGGAAGGUUAAGGGGAACUGUUAGCGUUGGCGAAGCGGUGAACUUAAGCCCCAGUAAACGGCGGUGGUAACUAUAACCAUCCUAAGGUAGCGAAAUUCCUUGUCGGGUAAGUUCCGACCUGCACGAAUGGAGUAACGAUUUCCCUACUGUCUCCACCAUGAACUCGGUGAAAUUGCAGUACGAGUAAAGAUGCUCGUUACGCGCAGCAGGACGGAAAGACCCCGGGACCUUUACUAUAGUUUGGUAUUGGUGAUUGGGACGACUUGUGUAGGAUAGGUGGGAGACUGUGAAGUGGCCACGCUAGUGGUUGUGGAGUCAUUGUUGAAAUACCACUCUGGUCGUUCUGGUUAUCUAACUUUGGGCCGUGAUCCGGUUCAGGGACAGUGCCUGAUGGGUAGUUUGACUGGGGCGGUCGCCUCCUAAAAGGUAACGGAGGCGCCCAA
rnacentral:rRNA from 1 species